rnacentral:lncRNA from 1 species
AUGUGCAGCGAGGAUGGGGGCUGUGCAAUCCUCGGGUCCAAGAGCAGCGGGUUCUCAAUGAGAAACGCCGGAGGGAAGACCCAGCUGUGUUCCAACAGCAGCCAGUGGAGACAUCUGGACCAACGCAGGGACAGCCAAGGCGAGAAGGCAGGAAGCUGUUCUGGGAGAGUGCGAACAAGAAUCUCCAAAUGCGCUUCCACAAAAAGAAAGCUGUUUAUUGAGCUUCAAAGAUCUGACAGGCAUCAGAGAACACCCAGAAGAGCUCCCUGGAGAUGCGGUUGGAAGGCAGACGCAGCUGUGUGCUGUCAGAGAGAAACCACAUUUGCACGUGGAUUGGAUCCCAGGGCAUCAGCGCUCGCCUCCAGUGCUGGUGUUGACUGGCCUCCUCCGAGGGAUGCUGUGACUUUCUGAGAAGUUUCCAGAGGCCCUGCUGUGGACAGGAGAUGAGCGAUUGCUCCGCGAGGGAAGCCAGGCUGGACAUUUUGUGCAUUGCCUGAGUACCUCCUGAUGUGAGGGGACAUCUCUGAGUGCCUGGGAUACUUCAGUAUCUAAUUCACUUGGAAAACACACAAGCAACUGUUGGACCUUGCCCACCAAACCACUCAGGGCGGACGUGGAGGUGGCGGGUGAGGAAGACCAAGAAGGUCCUCAGGGUCCAUCCAGAAGUUUUGUCACAUUCACAACUUUCUCACCUUGUUGUUAUAUUCACAAUUUACAUGUUUUUACUAUGUUCAGCCAAAAACCCAACAGUCUGAGAAAGUGCAUCAAAAUGACUUCUAAGUUGGAUUUUUUUUUUUUUUUGCAUUUUUGAGUUUUUUUGGAGAGUGAGCACAUUCAUUUUGGGUGUUCUGUUUUAACUUUCGGAUUGUCACACUUUUAUACAGGUUUAUGGGAUGCAAUGUGAUGUUUUGAUACAUGUAGAUACUGUAUAAUGAUUAAAUUAGAGUAAUUAGCAUAUGGGCUGGCACUGUGGCGUAGUGGGUGAGGCUGGCACCUGCAGUGCCGGCAUCCCAUAUGGGAAUUGGUUCAGGUCCCAGCUGCUCCACUUCUGAUCCAGCUCUCUGCUAUGGCCUGGAAAAACUGUAGAAGAUGGCCCACGUGCUUGGGCCCCUGUACCCAUGUGGAAGACCUGGAGGAAGCUCCUGGCUCCUGGCUUCGGAUCAGUGCAGCUCUGGCCAUUGCAGCCAUCUGGGGAGUGAGCCAGAGCAUGGAAGACCUCUCUCUCUCUCUCUCUUUCUGCCUCUGCCUCUCUGUAACUCUAUCAAGUAAACAAAUAAAAAAGUCUUAACAAAAAAAAAUAGAGUAAUU